AACGAACGCUGGCGGCAUGCCUAACACAUGCAAGUCGAACGAGACCUUCGGGUCUAGUGGCGCACGGGUGCGUACCGCGUGGGAACCUGCCCUUAGGUUCGGAAUAACUCCCCGAAAGGGGUGCUAAUACCGGAUAAUGUCUUCGGACCAAAGAGUUAUCGCCUUGGGAUGGGCCCGCGUUGGAUUAGCUAGUUGGUAGGGUAAAAGCCUGCCAAGGCGACGAUGCAUAGCUGGUCGGAGAGGAGGCUCAGCCACACUGGGACUGAGACACGGCCCAGACUCCUACGGGAGGCAGCAGUGGGGAAUAUUGGACAAGGGGCGAAAGUCUGAUCCAGCAGUGCCGCGUGAGUGAUGAAGGCCUUAGGGUUGUAAAGCUCUUUUAGCCGGGACGAUAAUGACAGUACCGGGAGAAUAAGCUCCGGCUAACUCCGUG
rnacentral:rRNA from 1 species